CACGUAGGGUGCGAGCGUUGUCCGGAAUUAUUGGGCGUAAAGAGCUCGUAGGUGGCUUGUCACGUCGGGUGUGAAAGCUUGGGGCUUAACUCCAGGUCUGCAUUCGAUACGGGCUGGCUAGGGGUAGGUAGGGGAGAACGGAAUUCCUGGUGUAGCGGUGAAAUGCGCAGAUAUCAGGAGGAACACCGGUGGCGAAGGCGGUUCUCUGGGCCUUACCUGACGCUGAGGAGCGAAAGCGUGGGGAGCGAACAGG
rnacentral:rRNA from 1 species